UUGCUAUUUGUGAGUCGUGUUGGGUUUUUCCACGAAGAGGAAGGGUUAAGAAAUAUAGUAGCUAUAAGUAUUUCCCUCACUGAGAACCAAGGUUAUCACACCAAUAGGAGAGUCAAGAUAAACCCUCAUCAUCAACACCUACACACACAAAACCGAACACUUGCACCCAAUGCAGGCAAGAGGGUUGUCAAGCCCCUUGAACUCGUUACUGGCAAGGAUUAAUUCUGAUAGAGAUAGAUAAAUUAAAAAGUAAAAAACAAAUAACA
rnacentral:lncRNA from 1 species